rnacentral:rRNA from 1 species
GUCUACGGCCAUGCCACCCUGAACAAGUCCAAUCCCAUCUGAUUUCAGAAGCUAAGCAUGGUCGAGCCUGGUUAGUAGAUGGUUGAGAGACCACCUAGGAAGACCAGGUGCUGUAGGCG